UACGUAGGCAGCAAGCGUUGUUCGGAGUUACUGGGCGUAAAGGGUGCGUAGGUGGCUCUAUAAGUAUGGUGUGAAAUCUCCCGGCUUAACUGGGAGGGUGCGCCGUAGACUGUGGGGCUAGAGUGUGGGAGAGGAAAGUGGAAUUCCUGGUGUAGCGGUGAAAUGCGUAGAUAUCAGGAGGAACACCUGCGGUGUAGACGGCUUUCUGGACCAUUGCUGACGCUGAGACACGAAAGCGUGGGUAGCAAACAGG
rnacentral:rRNA from 1 species